rnacentral:rRNA from 1 species
ACAGCAGCAGCCGCGGUAAUACGGAGGGUGCAAGCGUUAAUCGGAAUUACUGGGCGUAAAGCGCACGCAGGCGGUCUGACAAGUCAGAUGUGAAAUCCCCGGGCUUAACCUGGGAACUGCAUUUGAAACUGUCAGGCUGGAGUCUUGUAGAGGGGGGUGGAAUUCCAGGUGUAGCGGUGAAAUGCGUAGAGAUCUGGAGGAAUACCGGUGGCGAAGGCGGCCCCCUGGACAAAGACUGACGCUCAGGUGCGAAAGCGUGGGGAGCAAACAGGAUUAGAUACCCCGGUAGUCCCUGUCUCUUAUAA